AUAAACUGAUAAUUACGUACGCCAUUAGCUUUUUAAAUGCCAAAUUAGAAUUUUGAUCAUACUUUUAUAAAGCCGAAACAUACUGAAUUACUUAUCGCGAGCGACCAUUGCCCUGCUAUCAUCACGCCAUCAGAUCGCUUAUUAGAUUAGAUAUCAUCAGACAUAGUUCAGUCCCGCUCUCUAAAAGCAUCACGUUACUUUCGAGGAAUUUGUCCAAGGGAAACGGUGAGGGGGGUGUUUUGUCUGUUUGGGAAGUAUUAUCAGCAUAGCUAUCUUUGCAUGUGAGAUGUGAGCUUAGGGAGAAUGACGCGGGUCGACAUGUCGGGUUGUCAUGUCAUUGUUGUGGAUAAUAGAGGUGCCAUUCAAGGACGAUCGUAGUAAACAGGUUGUGUCAUGUUGAAUGAAGGAAAGGUUAGGUAAACCAAGUAAGUGAAUAAAAUUCUUUCUAUGCGACUCAUAUACCGUGAUGAGAUACCACGUCCUAUUCGAAGCUCCAUUAGUACUUGGAUAUAAAAGCCAGAAGAACUGAGUGCUGUUAGUUUAUUAAGGAUCUGCCCAAUCCCCUCGGCAACACUCUGCCUAGUCACCACAGGCACCAGUGGAAUUGUGGUUACUAAGGUACAGCGAGUAUUAUGAUGCGCCUUACGA